rnacentral:lncRNA from 1 species
AUCCUGAAAAAUAUCUUCUUCAUAAUUGCAUGGCCUAACUCACUUAAAAUUCUGUAUUGAUGUAUUCUCUCGUCAAAUUUUAAUUUCAUUAGAAUUGACUUCAUCUUCUGAACAUGACAUGAAUUUAGAAGUAUUACCAUCAUUAGAAGAUAUCAUGAAUAAUAUAAAAAAUAUAACUAAAAAUUAAAAAAAAAAGACAGAUUGUUGAGAACUUUAGCAAUUGAAUAGAAG